AUUGAACGCUGGCGGCAUGCUUUACACAUGCAAGUCGAACGGCAGCGCGGGCUUCGGCCUGGCGGCGAGUGGCGAACGGGUGAGUAAUACAUCGGAACGUGCCCAGUAGUGGGGGAUAGCUCGGCGAAAGCCGGAUUAAUACCGCAUACGACCUGAGGGUGAAAGCGGGGGAUCUUCGGACCUCGCGCUAUUGGAGCGGCCGAUGGCAGAUUAGCUAGUUGGUGGGGUAAAGGCCUACCAAGGCGACGAUCUGUAGCUGGUCUGAGAGGACGACCAGCCACACUGGGACUGAGACACGGCCCAGACUCCUACGGGAGGCAGCAGUGGGGAAUUUUGGACAAUGGGCGAAAGCCUGAUCCAGCAAUGCCGCGUGUGUGAUGAAGGCCUUCGGGUUGUAAAGCACUUUUGGCGGGAACGAAAAGGAAUGUGCCAAUACCACGGUUCGAUGACGGUACCCGCAGAAUAAGCACCGGCUAACUACGUG
rnacentral:rRNA from 1 species